rnacentral:rRNA from 1 species
UACAGAGGGUGCGAGCGUUAAUCGGAAUUACUGGGCGUAAAGCGUGCGUAGACGGCUAUCUAAGUCGGGUGUGAAAGCCCCGGGCUCAACCUGGGAAUUGCAUUCGAGACUGAAUAGCUAGGGUGCGGUAGAGGGAAGCGGAAUUUCCGGUGUAGCGGUGAAAUGCGUAGAUAUCAGGAGGAACACCGGUGGCGAAGGCGGCUUUCUGGACAGAUACCGACGCUGAGGCACGAAAGCUAGGGGAGCAAACAGG